CCCUUAGAUGUUCUGGGCCGCACGCGCGUUACACUGAUGCAUUCAACAAGUUUGUUUUUGUUCCUUGGCCGAGAGGCCUGGGUAAUCUUGUAAUGUGCAUCGUGAUAGGGAUAGAUUAUUGCAAUUAUUAAUCUUGAACGAGGAAUUCCUAGUAAACGCAGAUCAUCAAUCUGCAUUGAUUACGUCCCUGCCCUUUGUACACACCGCCCGUCGCACCUACCGAUUGAAUGGUCCGGUGAAGCCUCGGGAUUGUGGCUGGUUCCCUUUAUUGGGGAUUGGUUGUGAGAACUUGUCUAAACCUUAUCAUUUAGAGGAAGGUGAAGUCGUAACA
rnacentral:rRNA from 1 species